rnacentral:rRNA from 1 species
AUUGAACGCUGGCGGCAGGCUUAACACAUGCAAGUCGAACGAGUGGCGGACGGGUGAGUAAUGCGUGGGAAUCUGGCUGAUGGAGGGGGAUAACUACGGGAAACUGUAGCUAAUACCGCGUACCAUAAGAUGAGCCCAAGUUGGCAUAGGUAGUUGGUGAGGGAAAGGCGCACCAAGCCGACGACCACUAGCUGGUCUGAGAGGAUGACCAGCGACACGUGGACUUAGACACGGCCCAAACUCCUCCGGGGGGCAGCAGUGGGGAAUAUUGCGCAUUGGGGGCAACCUGACGCAGCCAUGCCGCGUGAAGGAAGAAGGCCUUCGGGUUGUAAAGUUCGUUCGGUAGCGAGGCGUUAACUACAGAAGAAGCACCGGCUAACUCCGUGCCAGCAGCCGCGGUAAUAC